rnacentral:rRNA from 1 species
AGAGAUAGAGUCUUCCCCUUCGGGGGACAAAGUGACAGGUGGUGCAUGGUUGUCGUCAGCUCGUGUCGUGAGAUGUUGGGUUAAGUCCCGCAACGAGCGCAACCCUUAAGCUUAGUUGCCAGCAUUAAGUUGGGCACUCUAAGUUGACUGCCGGUGACAAACCGGAGGAAGGUGGGGAUGACGUCAAAUCAUCAUGCCCCUUAUGAUUUGGGCUACACACGUGCUACAAUGGACAAUACAAAGGGCAGCUAAACCGUGAGGUCAUGCAAAUCCCAUAAAGUUGUUCUCAGUUCGGAUUGUAGUCUGCAACUCGACUACAUGAAGCUGGAAUCGCUAGUAAUCGUAGAUCAGCAUGCUACGGUGAAUACGUUCCCGGGUCUUGUACACACCGCCCGUCACACCACGAGAGUCUGUAACACCCGAAGCCGGUGGAGUAACCAUUUAUGGAGCUAGCCGUCGAAGGUGGGACAAAUGAUUGGGGUGAAGUCGUAACAAGGUAGCCGUAUCGGAA